GACGAACGCUGGCGGCGUGCUUAACACAUGCAAGUCGAACGAAGAGCGAUGGAAGCUUGCUUCUAUCAAUCUUAGUGGCGCACGGGCGAGUAACGCGUAAUCAACCUGCCCUUCAGAGGGGGACAACAGUUGGAAACGACUGCUAAUACCGCAUACGAUCUAACCUCGGCAUCGAGGAUAGAUGAAAGGUGGCCUCUACAUGUAAGCUAUCACUGAAGGAGGGGAUUGCGUCUGAUUAGCUAGUUGGAGGGGUAACGGCCCACCAAGGCGAUGAUCAGUAGCCGGUCUGAGAGGAUGAACGGCCACAUUGGGACUGAGACACGGCCCAGACUCCUACGGGAGGCAGCAGGGGGGAAUCUUCCGCAAUGGACGAAAGUCUGACGGAGCAACGCCGCGUGAGUGAUGACGGCCUUCGGGUUGUAAAGCUCUGUUAAUCGGGACGAAAGGCCUUCUUGCGAAUAGUUAGAAGGAUUGACGGUACCGGAAUAGAAAGCCACGGCUAACUACGUG
rnacentral:rRNA from 1 species